rnacentral:rRNA from 1 species
AUUGAACGCUGGCGGAAUGCUUUACACAUGCAAGUCGAGCGCGCAGCAAUGCGAGCGGCAGACGGGUGAGUAACGCGUGGGAACCUUCCCAGUGGUACGGAAUAGCUCAGGGAAACUUGAGGUAAUACCGUAUACGCCCGAAAGGGGAAAGAUUUAUCGCCAUUGGAUGGGCCCGCGUAGGAUUAGCUAGUUGGUGAGGUAACGGCUCACCAAGGCGACGAUCCUUAGCUGGUCUGAGAGGAUGAUCAGCCACACUGGGACUGAGACACGGCCCAGACUCCUACGGGAGGCAGCAGUGGGGAAUAUUGGACAAUGGGCGCAAGCCUGAUCCAGCCAUGCCGCGUGAGUGACGAAGGUCUUCGGAUUGUAAAGCUCUUUUGGCGGGGACGAUAAUGACGGUACCCGCAGAAUAAGCCCCGGCUAACUUCGUG